rnacentral:rRNA from 1 species
UUAAGCGACUAAGCGUACACGGUGGAUGCCCUGGCAGUCAGAGGCGAUGAAGGACGUGCUAAUCUGCGAAAAGCGUCGGUAAGGUGAUAUGAACCGUUAUAACCGGCGAUGUCCGAAUGGGGAAACCCAGUGUGAUUCGUCACACUAUCGUUAACUGAAUACAUAGGUUAACGAGGCGAACCGGGGGAACUGAAACAUCUAAGUACCCCGAGGAAAAGAAAUCAACCGAGAUUCCCCCAGUAGCGGCGAGCGAACGGGGAGCAGCCCAGAGUCUGAAUCAGCUUGUGUGUUAGUGGAACGGUCUGGAAAGUCCGACGGUACAGGGUGAUAGUCCCGUACACCAAAAUGCACAGGCUGUGAACUCGAAGAGUAGGGCGGGACACGUGGUAUCCUGUCUGAAUAUGGGGGGACCAUCCUCCAAGGCUAAAUACUCCUGACUGACCGAUAGUGAACCAGUACCGUGAGGGAAAGGCGAAAAGAACCCCGGCGAGGGGAGUGAAAAAGAACCUGAAACCGUGUACGUACAAGCAGUGGGAGCACCUUCGGGUGUGACUGCGUACCUUUUGUAUAAUGGGUCAGCGACUUAUAUUCUGUAGCAAGGUUAACCGUAUAGGGGAGCCGCAGGGAAACCGAGUCUUAACUGGGCGUUAAGUUGCAGGGUAUAGACCCGAAACCCGGUGAUCUAGCCAUGGGCAGGUUGAAGGUUGGGUAACACUAACUGGAGGACCGAACCGACUAAUGUUGAAAAAUUAGCGGAUGACUUGUGGCUGGGGGUGAAAGGCCAAUCAAACCGGGAGAUAGCUGGUUCUCCCCGAAAGCUAUUUAGGUAGCGCCUCGUGAAUUCAUCUUCGGGGGUAGAGCACUGUUUCGGCUAGGGGGUCAUCCCGACUUACCAACCCGAUGCAAACUACGAAUACCGAAGAAUGUUAUCACGGGAGACACACGGCGGGUGCUAACGUCCGUCGUGAAGAGGGAAACAACCCAGACCGCCAGCUAAGGUCCCAAAGUCAUGGUUAAGUGGGAAACGAUGUGGGAAGGCACAGACAGCCAGGAUGUUGGCUUAGAAGCAGCCAUCAUUUAAAGAAAGCGUAAUAGCUCACUGGUCGAGUCGGCCUGCGCGGAAGAUGUAACGGGGCUAAACCAUGCACCGAAGCUGCGGCAGCGACACUAUGUGUUGUUGGGUAGGGGAGCGUUCUGUAAGCCUGCGAAGGUGUGCUGUGAGGCAUGCUGGAGGUAUCAGAAGUGCGAAUGCUGACAUAAGUAACGAUAAAGCGGGUGAAAAGCCCGCUCGCCGGAAGACCAAGGGUUCCUGUCCAACGUUAAUCGGGGCAGGGUGAGUCGACCCCUAAGGCGAGGCCGAAAGGCGUAGUCGAUGGGAAACAGGUUAAUAUUCCUGUACUUGGUGUUACUGCGAAGGGGGGACGGAGAAGGCUAUGUUAGCCGGGCGACGGUUGUCCCGGUUUAAGCAUGUAGGCUGGUUGUCCAGGCAAAUCCGGAUAAUCAAGGCUGAGGUGUGAUGACGAGGCACUACGGUGCUGAAGUAACAAAUGCCCUGCUUCCAGGAAAAGCCUCUAAGCAUCAGGUAACAUCAAAUCGUACCCCAAACCGACACAGGUGGUCAGGUAGAGAAUACCAAGGCGCUUGAGAGAACUCGGGUGAAGGAACUAGGCAAAAUGGUGCCGUAACUUCGGGAGAAGGCACGCUGGUGUGUAGGUGAAGUCCCUGCGGAUGGAGCUGAGACCAGUCGAAGAUACCAGCUGGCUGCAACUGUUUAUUAAAAACACAGCACUGUGCAAACACGAAAGUGGACGUAUACGGUGUGACGCCUGCCCGGUGCCGGAAGGUUAAUUGAUGGGGUUAUCCGUAAGGAGAAGCUCUUGAUCGAAGCCCCGGUAAACGGCGGCCGUAACUAUAACGGUCCUAAGGUAGCGAAAUUCCUUGUCGGGUAAGUUCCGACCUGCACGAAUGGCGUAAUGAUGGCCAGGCUGUCUCCACCCGAGACUCAGUGAAAUUGAACUCGCUGUGAAGAUGCAGUGUACCCGCGGCAAGACGGAAAGACCCCGUGAACCUUUACUAUAGCUUGACACUGAACAUUGAGCCUUGAUGUGUAGGAUAGGUGGGAGGCUUUGAAGCGUGGACGCCAGUCUGCGUGGAGCCAACCUUGAAAUACCACCCUUUAAUGUUUGAUGUUCUAACGUUGGCCCCUGACCGGGGUUGCGGACAGUGUCUGGUGGGUAGUUUGACUGGGGCGGUCUCCUCCCAAAGCGUAACGGAGGAGCACGAAGGUUAGCUAAUCCUGGUCGGACAUCAGGAGGUUAGUGCAAUGGCAUAAGCUAGCUUGACUGCGAGCGUGACGGCGCGAGCAGGUGCGAAAGCAGGUCAUAGUGAUCCGGUGGUUCUGAAUGGAAGGGCCAUCGCUCAACGGAUAAAAGGUACUCCGGGGAUAACAGGCUGAUACCGCCCAAGAGUUCAUAUCGACGGCGGUGUUUGGCACCUCGAUGUCGGCUCAUCACAUCCUGGGGCUGAAGUAGGUCCCAAGGGUAUGGCUGUUCGCCAUUUAAAGUGGUACGCGAGCUGGGUUUAGAACGUCGUGAGACAGUUCGGUCCCUAUCUGCCGUGGGCGCUGGAGAAUUGAGGGGGGCUGCUCCUAGUACGAGAGGACCGGAGUGGACGCAUCACUGGUGUUCGGGUUGUCAUGCCAAUGGCACUGCCCGGUAGCUAAAUGCGGAAGAGAUAAGUGCUGAAAGCAUCUAAGCACGAAACUUGCCCCGAGAUGAGUUCUCCCUGAGACUUUAAGUCUCCUGAAGGAACGUUGAAGACGACGACGUUGAUAGGCCGGGUGUGUAAGCGCAGCGAUGCGUUGAGCUAACCGGUACUAAUGAACCGUGAGGCUUAACCUU